GUGGGACACCGGCCUGCAGAGGGUACUCCGGAGAGCUAAUUCCCAGGAUGACCAGCAGGAGGUGCCGCACCAGUGAGUCAGCGCGUUGCUACAGGAUCCCAUGCCAUUUUAUUUUUUUGUACAUUAUUUUCAAUAAGAUGUCUAAGUCCGUGGUCCUCAUGGUGAAAUUAAUACAUAAUGGGAACUCCGUAGAAUUCAGCUUCAGUGAAAUGGUUUCAAAACUAUUCUUCUGCUAGAAAAAAUAUUCACAGUCUGAAUUAUAUGGAGAAGGACUCUGUUGUAAGAGUCAACCCAACGUUUAAAUAUGUUGCUUUUCAAAAGGAGACAUUGGGUAAAGAGUACACAGAUCAACUGUGUCUGGCUGUCAGCAUGAGGGAUCCAGUUUCACUUUGAGUUUAGUUCGGUCCGUUCUCCCUAGGACGUCAGCAAGGACUGUGGAUGUAAACGGCUCAACUCCAGGCGGUGGAGUGUUUCACUGCUAUUUAGUAUCCUCUUUUGGACAAUGGAGCUGCACUGAGGGGCUCUGGAAGCCGGGCACAGACAGACUAUAUCGAACAAAAAUUGCUAUGAUACAGGUCCUUUGAGGAGAGAGUGUAUAAGGGUGGAAAAGCAGUGAUUUCAAAGGACCACACAAAGAACACAGAAGAGCCAUGAUUUUCUAUUUUGCAAAAAAGGAAUAGAAUAUCUCAUUUUUACAUACCUUAUGCUGACACUUCUGAGAUAAGCAUUUAUUUCUAUUAGUGUAAAAUAAAUUCUUUCUAAUACAGCUAAUACCCAGUCUCAGAAAAUAAGCCGUUCAUGUCAUCACAAUGCAAUAGGACUGACUAGCUGAACUACUGGAGUGCUUUGGGCCAACCUAAAUGCUUGUACA